rnacentral:lncRNA from 1 species
UGGAUCAGCCGCCCAUCUUCUUGUCUUCAGAACCUCUUCAUAUUCGAUAUUGAGUUUGGAACCAUCAUUUACAUCUAGUAAUUCAGUACUUGUUCUACUUGUUCUUGCUAGGUCUUCGAUUGCUUGCAGAACGAGUGCCCUAGUGGUCGGGGUGUCGCGCUCUACAAGAUCGCGGCAGCCAUUGGAGGUGGUGUAUCAGUUGCUAUGGCGCAACAUCUUUAG